GCAACCCUGACCCCCUUAAAACCCUCUCAGCUCGUUGAGCUCUUCAAAGUCGCUAACUUGAUCGGACCAGUUGUUUAAAUUGUGUGUAAAAUAUCAGAUUGGGCUACCAGGCCCAGUCAUACUGCUAUAGAGAUAGUCCUGCCGCCCCAGCGCUGGCGCCACAGCGGCAGGAAGCUCCGCUAAAGCGGAGGUGCAAAAUCAUUAAAAGACCGUUCUAGCGGUGGGGCUACCGCUGAAGCGGUGCCGCCACAGCGACCGUUAGACCGCCACAGCGGUUGACGGGCAGUUAUUUCCCUAUUUAAGCCCAUUUAUUGACAUGACCUAAUAUUUAUUUCCCCAAAUCAGCAGCCGCCAUUAAGAGAAAAUUCCAACCCUAGAAACUUAAAUGUUGGGAAGACCUCUCGGAUCUACAAGUUCGCUACGAAGAUGGAAGAUGGAAUCCAAGUGGAUGUUCGCACACCUGUUCGGCCUCGAGAGUUUUUCAGGAUAUUGAGUGAUUGAAGUUUUCCGGAAGACGCACGGUGCCUAUCUUGAAGGCCUCCAUCAUUCUCAUUCCGAGAUGGAGGUUGAGUCUUAAAUUUAUUGUUGUAUUCUGUAUUUAAAUCUUAGUCACUCUUGCACUAGUCUAGACUAGGUCAUGGGAAAGGAGUCAGUGUAUGUAUUAAAUUGAUGUAAACUCUUCCGCUACUUUAGUGUAUAUAUUGGUUU